rnacentral:sRNA from 1 species
AAGAGUUUUUCUCUACAGUAGGAAAGGUGCGAGAUGUGAGGAUGAUUUCUGACAGAAAUUCAAGACGUUCCAAAGGAAUUGCUUAUGUGGAGUUCGUCGAUGUUAGCUCAGUGCCUCUAGCAAUAGGAUUAACUGGCCAACGAGUUUUAGGCGUGCCAAUCAUAGUACAGGCAUCACAGGCAGAAAAAAACAGAGCUGCAGCAAUGGCAAACAAUUUACAAAAGGGAAGUGCUGGACCUAUGAGGCUUUAUGUGGGCUCAUUACACUUCAACAUAACUGAAGAUAUGCUUCGUGGGAUCUUUGAGCCUUUUGGAAGAAUUGAAAGUAUCCAGCUGAUGAUGGACAGUGAAACUGGUCGAUCCAAGGGAUAUGGAUUUAUUACAUUUUCUGACUCAGAAUGUGCCAAAAAGGCUUUGGAACAACUUAAUGGAUUUGAACUAGCAGGAAGACCAAUGAAAGUUGGUCAUGUUACUGAACGUACUGAUGCUUCGAGUGCUAGUUCAUUUUUGGACAGUGAUGAACUGGAAAGGACUGGAAUUGAUUUGGGAACAACUGGUCGUCUUCAGUUAAUGGCAAGACUUGCAGAGGGGUCUGGCUCUGUUGCCCAAUUUGGAGUUGCAGUGAGCCGAGAUUGCGCCAUUGCACUCCAGCCUGUGCAACAAGAGCCUGUGCAACAAGAGCGAUACUCCAUCUCAAAAAAA